rnacentral:lncRNA from 1 species
UUAUUAUUAGUAGAUUGGUGAAAAUUUAAUUUGAAAAAUGCAUGGGAGAGACUAUUUAUAGAUUUUUUAAAACCUAUUUGAAUAGUCACAACCCUUCAAUCUGAAUAGUCGCAUUCUUCUAAUACUCACAACUUCUCGCUUUUCAAAAGAUACUUAUGAAUAGUCACAACUUUUAGACAAUUUUUAGAAGGACACAACCUUACAACAUAGAAUUUUUAGAAAAGACACAACCCUCUACACAUAUUUUUCAAAAGACAUAACCUUUCAACAUAACUGAAGUUCACGACCUUAGAAAUUCAUUGGAAAUGACACAACCUUACAACAUAGAACUUUUAGAAAAGACACAACCCUUUACACUU